UCACGGUAGCCUGGCAACCAAACUCCGUCUCUUUGAUGGAGGGCGUUCCAACUAGAGAACAGCUUUAUGAAAAGUGUCAGGGUCAUCUUUAGAAAACAAAACAAAACCCCCCAAAAAAGCCCACCACCAAGAAGGCAAAGAGAAAAAAAAAGCACACAACUCAAUUAUUCAGCUGCCACAAAUGCCCCUGUCAGGUCUUCCUAACAACACUCACUUGAAUUUAAUUAAGUUUGUCCAUGUAGCCUGUGAACGGCUCAGCCAGACCUGCUGGAAGGGGAUGAAAAGCCUUAAGGCAGGCCCUAUGGGGCCAUUGUUGAUAAGUGAGGGCACAACAUUCCCAAGGGCCAGUGGGACAUCUGCCUUUCUGUUAUUGGAAUAGAGCUCUAGCUAUGCAAAAUGUGGUCCUCACACCGACUGGAAUUUGCAAAAAGAGUGAGAAACUCGAAGAGCAGUUUGACACGGGCACAUCUUUCUGAACGAGACUUUGUUCAGUUCAGUGCUGUAUUCCUGGGGCUUACCUACUGUCAGCUCAUCAAGAUUUGUGGGAUGGUACAAAGGAAGCCCAGGUGUUGUUUCAGUCCCCCUUACAAAAACUAAAUUGUUCUCAUGCUUGCCACAGGCGUACAAUGCAGCUAUUAUCAUCCUCAUUAACAGCUGAGGAAUCUGACAUUCAGAGAAAUUAAACUUAACUAAGAUUAUACAGCCACAUUAUGUGUUUCUGAUUCUUAAGCUUUUCACUGUGGUGGGUAAGAAGAGUUUCAAAGGCUGACAUCAGUCAUAACUUAACAUUAAAGCCAAUUAGAGGUAUUAUUCAAGUAUUCGG